CCAGCUAUUAAACCCUGGGGGUUAUUCAACUGGUGAAAGGUUUGAAGACAGGCAAAAAGCUGUCUGCAGAAUUUCCCUGCUUCAAUCAAAAGCAAAUGCUGUGCCCUGAUGGGGAUUCUCAAUCCAUCAAAAGUGGUUUUCGCUGUCAGAAAAGCACUUUUGAGCAAUGCAUCUGAAAAUAAGUGUCCUUGAUCCAUCUGGAAAUGUGAGUCUCCAGAUCCAGUCUUCAGAAAGCAUCACUGAACCAAUGCUUUCUCCUUGCAGAUGUGGACCUUGAGAUGAAUUCUGAAGGCAAAGAAUGAUAUCCUCCCUUGAGACCUUUGGAUGAAAUGCAUGAUGUUAU